rnacentral:lncRNA from 1 species
GAGGGGAAUGACAGGAAGACACAGCAGGUGAGGAAACAAUGAGAUGAAAUGAUCAGAACAGAACACAGACUGGCAGAAGACACAGAUAUAGAGACUGAAAGCAUUUGAUGACAUUUUGGAUUCGACUAAUUGUGAGAUGCUUGUGACUGUGUUAUCUGUAGCCAUGGUGAUGCUGACAGGUCACCUAAUGUAUGGGCUGCCUAUGGACGGAAAAAUGAGAAAUCCGAGGGCCCUUUCAGAAGACCUGUGUGAUCCAGGAUAUUACAAGAACGGCGAUACGUGUGCUCAAUGCAAGUCCGGUUUCUACACCAGUGAGAAAAACAGUGAGGAAAGUUGCCACCGCUGCUUCCAGAACUGCAUACCUGAAUUCAACAUGGAGGUGGAGAAGAAUUGCACAAGCACAUCAAAUUUAGUGUGUCGCUGUCGAGAGGGUUACGUUUGUUUGACCAAACCACACACACACCCAUGUGACAGCUGCGUUCCUGUCUCCACCACAAUCCCAUCCUCCACCUCUGCUGAUGUCCCAUCAUCCACUACAUCCACCACUUCAUCUACUAAAAUUAAACUGGGAAGGAAGAGAAGGAAUGUUUUAAACAUUUUGUCAGGCAGUGCUCGUUGGGCAAUAUGGAGGUGGACAGUGAGACUGCACCUCCUACUAGCCAACCAGAUGAGCAGCCCCAUGCCCAGGAGAUGCUGUCACAUGGCAGCACACCCACCAAUCACAACACAGACUGCUCGUUUCAUCAGCCAAUCAGCUCAGAGCAGGCUGUGCCUCCAGCUGGCAAUUUAGGUACUAUAAAUAGUUGCUUUUUGUAAUUUUCUUCUUUUAUGAAUAUUUGAUUUGACUGUGAAAUCAUGUAAAGUGGCCAAACCAAUAAACAUAAGCAUGCAGUAAAAAACAAAACAGAAAAUUAUAUUAUAAAGAGGAC